rnacentral:rRNA from 1 species
CGGGUGAGUAAUGUAUGGGGAUCUGCCUGAUGGCGGGGGAUAACUACUGGAAACGGUAGCUAAUACCGCAUAAUGUCUGCGGACCAAAGCGGGGGACCUCCGGGCCUCUUGCCAUCGGAUGUGCCCAGAUGGGAUUAGCUAGUAGGUGGGGUAACGGCUCACCUAGGCGACGAUCCCUAGCUGGUCUGAGAGGAUGACCAGCCACACUGGGACUGAGACACGGCCCAG